AGAAGAUAUGGAGGAACUGCACCGUUUGCUGUUGAGGAAUAGAGAAUACUCAAAAGAAAAACAUGAUCUCAAUACAAUGUUACUGCCUGGAAUCUGGGUUUGAGAUGGUUGGAUGUUUAUGAACACUUACUGUAGAGGUAAG